UAGGGAAUAUUGGACAAUGGGCGAAAGCCUGAUCCAGCAACGCCGCGUGCACGAUGAAGGUCUUCGGAUUGUAAAGUGCUUUUAAGGGAGAUGAGAAAGGACAGUAUCCCUUGAAUAAGCCUCGGCGAACUACAUGCCAGCAGCCGCGGUAAAACGUAGGAGGCAAGCGUUAUCCGGAUUUAUUGGGCGUAAAGCGCGUGCAGGCUGUUUGGAAAGUUGGAUGUGAAAGCUCCUGGCUUAACUGGGAGAGGUCGUUCAAAACUACCAAACUAGAGAAGGGGAGAGGGAAGUGGAAUUCCGGGUGUAGGGGUGAAAUGCGUAGAUAUCCGGAGGAAAACCAGUGGCGAAGGCGGCUUCCUGGACCAUUCUGACGCUUAGACGCGAAAGCUAGGGGAGCGAACGG
rnacentral:rRNA from 1 species